ACUAACAAUCAACACACCACCAUAACUAACCCCACAUGCACUAUAUAGAGUUAAACAAACCAUUUUUCCCCCUAAGUAUGGGCGACAGAAAAGGAACAUUGGAGCAAUAGAGAAAGUACCGUAGGGGAGAGCUGAAAGAGAAAUGAAAAAACCCAGUUAAGCUCAAAAAAGCAGAGAUUAACCCUCGUACCUUUUGCAUCAUGAACUAGCGAGAAUAACCAGGCGAAAAGAUUUUUAGUCUGAUGUCCCGAAACCAAGUGAGCUACUCCAAGACAGCCUAUAACAAGGGCAAACCCGUCUCUGUGGCGAAAGAGUGGGAAGAGCUUUGAGUAGAGGUGACAAACCUAUCGAACUUGGUUAUAGCUGGUUGCCUGAGAAAUGGAUAGAAGUUCAGCCUUUUUAAUUCUUUAUUCCUAACCAAACCAGAUAAAAAGAAACUAAAGAGAGUUACCCAAAGGGGGUACAGCCCCUUUAGGACAAGACACAACUUCCCCAGGAGGAUAAAGAUCAAAAAAAAUUUAGGAAACCAUGUUUUGGUGGGCCUAAAAGCAGCCAUCCCUAAUGAAAGCGUUAUAGCUCAAACAUUCUCCACUACCCGCAGAUCCCGACAACCCCAUCUUAACCCCUAACAAUACCAGGCCCCCCCAUGCCCCCAUGGGAGUGACCAUGCUAGUAUGAGUAAUAAGAGAAUCAGACUCUCUCCCUGCAUCCGUGUACAUCGGAACGAACCCCCACCGACCCUUAACGGACCCAAUACAAAGAGGAAAUAGGGCCACACGACAGAGAACAAGAAAAACACCCUAAAAUUAACCGUUAACCCUACACUGG
rnacentral:rRNA from 1 species